UAUGGAGGUUAUGCUUCGCAGCCGUGGGAGAGACAUGGUGAUUUCUAUGGAGACAUGAAGUCUUUUCUUUUUCAGCUCUAUCCAAAGUUAGCUAUUUACAGGCCUACUGGAGCAAACAGUAAUCUACAAUGGGUAUAUGUCUACUUGUUCUCAUAGAUGAUGGAAAAGCUUAAAUUUAAAUUGUGUGUUUAUAGGACUUGCAGUUUAUAGUGGCUUUACUUUUGAUGUUGUUCAAUAGUAUAGUCCAUCCAGUAGUUGAAAUGAAGCUUUGCUGGCAUCGAUUCACUAGAUAAGAUUCAUUGUCUUUUAGUAAUGGUGCACUAUUUGGAUGAGACUUUUGGCAACAUAGCGAUCUCAUUUACCUAGGAAGAAAUUCUGCAUGUUUGGAAAAAUGUUAUUAUUCAGCCGCUUUACAUUGUCUAGCAUUUGUUGUGAAAAAAAUCAACUGGUUAAAGGGCUUUGCAGUCGGUAAUGUAAAUCUGCAGCAACUCAUUCAUUAGAAAUAUACAUGACUGGGUCAAAUAUCUUUAGUUUCAGAUACUUCGCUGAAACUUGUGUGUCACAGGAACACUUUAUAUUAUUUUUUGCUAGGAUUGUUACUAGUUUUGUCAGAAAUAAGAGUCUGCCUUUCCAACUAAUGGGUUCUUAAGUAUUGUAAAACGUCCUUCCCACUGAAAACAAACUCCACUUCAAGAAAUUGAGGCUUCUAUAAAUUAUACCACCAAACACAGGUAAUAUGAGGAGAACUUGUGAAGAUAGGUCAGUUAUCUCUAAUAUUAUUGGAGAGCUAGAUGGUUUUGCCACUUUCUUCUUUCCACAUUUUGACGUCCAUUACUGAAUGUUCUUAAGCGAAUUUUUGGUAGAUCUAGUUUUCUAAUAGUGAAUUUUUCACAUUACAAAAGCCCCAUUUUAAAGAACUGGUCCAGGAACAUUUCAUUGUCAACUCUUAAAUGAGUUAUUAAAUGCAAGGCCUUAUUUUAUUUUAUUAGUGAAAACACACUCGUUUAACAUUUUGUUCUUUGGUUGUGUAAUGAAAUUGCUUAGUCAAGUUUGCACAUAUGCAGCUGACUUUGCUGUGUGUUCCCAAUUAUUUAUGUUGCUAUCAACCUUGUAUGGUAAGUGUGCAGCAAAUUUCAGUUCAGAGAGCAUCCCAAAUGGCAUUGGUUUUGGUGGACGUGUUAAUCACUUUGGUCUUUUCC
rnacentral:lncRNA from 1 species